UAGUGCAGGGAGGUCGAUGAUUCUGACAGAGUUUCUAUUUCACACAUCACAAGCAACCCAUCUUUAGGCGAUGACAAGCCUAUGUUCUUCAACUUAAAAGCAUACAUCAGCUUGAUUAAGCCUGAUCAGGAAAUGUGUCGGCCAUCAGGCAUGUAAGACAUGCAAAAAAAAGGUUAUUGAAGCUAUUGGAUCUAGAUAUUGGUGUGAAGGAUGCUAGAAGAAUGAUGAUGAAUGUAACUUAAGAUACAUCAUGGUACCGAAAGUCUCGGAUGCAAGUGGUGAAGCAUAGAUUUCAACAUUCAAUGAGCAAGCUGAGAGAAUCAUUGGGUGCCUUGCUGAAUAGCUUGACAAGUUGAAAUCACAGCUGUGUUUGACUUGUAAUUCAAAAUACUUAAAAACAUGUUAACUGACAUCCAAAUUCCAAUUAUCAUGACAUUUCCUUAAAAGUUGCUUUGCUAUGACUGUGAUCACUUCCACAAAACUUUAUUGAGAAGGGAAAUGUGAUCUCGACAAUUAUUGUGAUAUAACUA